CGUAUUUGUUUGUUGUGCAUAUUUUCAUCGGAUCUUUGUGGCAUUGUACUAAGAAAUAUUGUAAUUAUAAGUCUUAUCCUGCGUGCACAUAGAAAUGGAACUACUUGGGAGCAGGGGUAGUUACAAACUCUUUCGUGGUAAACCCGUACUCAGUAAUGCGACUCAGUGGAGGUGGACCGGAACACCUUUAUUCGAUUGGGCGGAUCGGGUUGUAAAUCUCACUUUCAGUAAUCUCUCCGGAUCGAUCCAUGCCUUGAACUUGCCACAUAUAUUGCAUUGUUAAGUCCACGUAGUUAGUGUACUACUGUCGGUGGAAAAGAUUCUUGACUGGAAUUAGUGUAUGGUCUUCCAGAUGGCGGAAUUAUUUAGUGUAUGGUCAUUCAGAAACUCUUGAACCAAGUGAACUCAAUUCACCUUCCACUGUUCUGGAUUAGUUUUGUUCCUCGUUGAGCACGCACACAGCCCACAAUCACGGUGACUAUCUUAAGCUUGAUCUUGUUACAGAUAUCCUCCUUGUCCAAUUUCGAACGUACAGUAAUCCCGAAAGGAUGGCAAAUCAGAAGAACAUGGCUGAUGACUCUGAAACUAAACAUCUGCGCUAACGAACGGAAUACGGGGAAUUAGUCUAACAAAAAAUAAAAAGUAAAGUACUUUACAUAUCACCUUAGACACUCACUCUUCUAGUUCAA